rnacentral:rRNA from 1 species
AUGCAUAGAGACGCGGACCGACCAAACCCGCACGCUGCUUGUUCUAUAGCUUGGCCGCUCGGGAGGUCAAGCCGCCCGCCCUCCCGUAAACCCUAUCUUCUCCUGUUCCCCUUCGUCCCCGGCCGGCGACGACGCCGCGCGCGCAGCGAACCCAGCCCCUCCUCCGGUUGCAGUAAGCAAGGAAGGAUGAGUAGGCGCUGGAGCCGGACCAUUUACGUUGGGAACCUCCCAGGGGAUAUCAGGGAGCGGGAGGUGGAGGAUCUGUUCUACAAGUAUGGACGGAUAGUUGAAAUUGACUUGAAGGUCCCCCCAAGGCCACCUGGCUUUGCUUUUGUUGAGUUUGAAGAUCCCCGUGAUGCUGAAGAUGCGAUUCAUGGUCGAGAUGGUUACAACUUUGAUGGGAAUCGUCUGCGGGUUGAACUUGCACAUGGCGGGAGGGCCAACUCUUCAUCCCUUCCGAACAGCUAUGGUGGCGGAGGACGCCGUGGUGGUGUCUCUAGGCAUACAGAGUAUCGUGUUCUGGUUACUGGACUACCUUCUUCUGCAUCAUGGCAAGAUCUAAAGGAUCAUAUGAGAAAGGCUGGUGAUGUUUGUUUCUCUGAGGUGUAUCGUGAGGGUGGUGGUACUAUUGGAAUUGUUGAUUAUACAAACUAUGAUGACAUGAAGUAUGCUAUAAGGAAGCUUGAUGAUACUGAAUUUAAAAAUGCAUUCUCUCGAGCGCCUAUAAGGGUGAAGGAGUAUGCUGGCAAAAGCAGCCGCUCCUAUUCACGCAGCCGUAGCAGAAGCCGAAGUGGCAGCUACAGCAGGAGUCCGAGUCCAAAGAAAAAACCAUCACGCCGUUCAGCGUCAAGAUCUCGGUCGAGAUCAGUUUCUUCCCAUUCAAGGUCACCGUCAAAGGGACGCUCUCCAUCAAGAUCACCAGCAAAAUCCCGAUCCCCUGUCGCUGCGUCCCCCGUCGUCAAUGGUGAAGCAGCAAGCCCCAAGAGGGACCCAAGCAAGAGCCCAUCACGUUCCCGGUCUCCUGAUGCCAAAUCAGAGUAA